rnacentral:RNase_P_RNA from 1 species
UAGUUGACCUGAGUAAUCGCUGCGUCGCUUUGACGGCGUAGAGGAAAGUCCAUGCUCACACAGUGCUGCGAUGCCUGUAGUGUUCGUGCAUACUGAAAAAAUAAGGUAUGGCAGUUAGUAGCUGACGGCGGAAGUAAUACCUAAGCCUUUCGAGGUAUGGUAGACGCUUCCUUAAGGUGCCACAGAGACGAAGCUUUGCGAGAAAUCGUAAAGGUGGAACGAGGUAAACCCCGCGAGUGAGAAACCCAAAUUUGGUAGGGGCACUCUCUAGAAGGAACUGAACGGAAUAGAGGGACGGAGCAAUCCGUAGACAGAUGAUUACUACUCAGUCGUACGAGGCUAACGCCGCUUGAGUACUUGAGGACAAAACAUGGCUUACAGGGUCGAUUAAUGA